ncrna:Panax ginseng miR6136a stem-loop (pgi-MIR6136a)
GACGACGGUUUCGGUCAUACAACCAUCAUUUAUACUUUUAGCGACGCUAUAUGUUGUCCGUCGACUAAAAGUAUAGACGACGGUUGUAUGACCGAAACGUCGC